rnacentral:rRNA from 1 species
CAGCCGCCGCGGUAAUACAGAGGGUGCAAGCGUUAAUCGGAUUUACUGGGCGUAAAGGGUGCGUAGGUGGUUAUUUAAGUGAGAUGUGAAAGCCCCGGGCUUAACCGGGGAAGUGGCCCCGAUACGACCGGCCUCGAGGGGUGUAGGGGGAGCCGGAACUUCCGGUGGAGCGGUGAAAUGCGUUGAGAUCGGAAGGAACGCCCGUGGCGAAAGCGGGCUCCUGGACACCACCUGACGCUGAGACGCGAAAGCCAGGGGAGCGAACGGGAUUAGAGACCCCCGUAGUCCCUGUCUCUUAUAC